rnacentral:rRNA from 1 species
AUUGAACGCUGGCGGCAUGCCUUACACAUGCAAGUCGAACGGUAACGGGCCUUCGGGUGCCGACGAGUGGCGAACGGGUGAGUAAUGUAUCGGAACGUACCUUUCAGUGGGGGAUAACGUAGCGAAAGUUACGCUAAUACCGCAUAUUCUGUGAGCAGGAAAGCAGGGGAUCGCAAGACCUUGCGCUGAUUGAGCGGCCGAUAUCAGAUUAGCUAGUUGGUGAGGUAAAGGCUCACCAAGGCGACGAUCUGUAGCGGGUCUGAGAGGACGGCCCGCCACACUGGGACUGAGACACGGCCCAGACUCCUACGGGAGGCAGCAGUGGGGAAUUUUGGACAAUGGGGGCAACCCUGAUCCAGCCAUUCCGCGUGAGUGAAGAAGGCCUUCGGGUUGUAAAGCUCUUUCGGCAGGAACGAAACGGCGGGCUCUAACAUAGCCUGUCAAUGACGGUACCUGAAGAAGAAGCACCGGCUAACUACGUG